GGACUACUAGGGUUUCUAAUCCCGUUUGCUCCCCUGGCUUUCGCGCCUCAGCGUCAGAAGGGGUCCAGCACGCCGCUUUCGCCACCGGCGUUCCUUCGGAUAUCUACGCAUUUCACCGCUCCACCCGAAGUUCCGCAUGCCCCUACCCCCCUCGAGACCACCAGUAUCGGAGGCGAUUUUCCGGUUAAGCCGAAAGAUUUCACCACCGACUUGAUGACCCGCCUACGCGCCCUUUAAGCCCAGUGAAUCCGAACAACGUUCGCACGGUUCGUCUUACCGCGGCUGCUGGCAC
rnacentral:rRNA from 1 species